UACGGAGGGUGCAAUCGUUAUCCGGAAUUACUGGGUUUAAAGGGUGCGUAGGCGGCUUGAUAAGUCAGGGGUGAAAGCCUAUAGCUUAACGAUAGAAUUGCCUUUGAUACUGUAAAGCUUGAAAGGGGUUGAGGUCAGCAUAAUGUGGCAUGUAGCGGUGAAAUGCAUAGAUAUGCCAUAGAACACCGAUUGCGAAGGCAGCUGGCUGGGCCUACUUUGACGCUGAGGCACGAAAGCGUGGGGAGAGAACAGG
rnacentral:rRNA from 1 species